UAUGAGUUUAAUAUAUUUUUAACAAUUCACUAGUUGGCGGAGAGAUACCUAUACCACAUGUGCCUACAAAAAUAUCUCUAAGGGAUACCCCUUAUAAUUACGGGGUGGAGAGAUAUAAAUUUAUUUUUAAUAAAUGUUUAUACUUUUUAUUAUUUGAUAUUAUAAAUAAUUUUUUAUUAUUUCAUAGUAUAGUUUAGUUAUUAAAUUGAAGGAAAAAUAUAUAUAACCUCAUUAAAUUUUAUACUUUUUGCAAAUAGAAAUCAUCAACUUUAAUUUAAUCAUACUCAAACCUUAAACUUCUCACAUUCAUCACAUUGACCCAUAUGUUAAGUUUCUAUUACAUUAUUUACCAGUGAAAUCUAACUCUUUAAAUGUAGAACAUUGAUUUAUUUAUUUAAAAGUAUCAUAAAAAAUUACAAUAGUGGGGCUAUUCUUCUUCCUGAGAGAGAAAAGUUUCAUCUCAACCACCAUAUCCAAUGAAUCAUAGAGAGAGACACAUCAGCAGCAUUGGCUCCUGGAUUCUAACCAUAAAAUAACAAAGCACUUAACAACAUUUUUUUUUACCAAAAACAUUAUAGUGCAGUAAUGGAAGAUAGUGAUGAUGAUAUGAAUAUGCACAACCACUAUGAUAAGAACCUUUCUACCUCACAAUGAAAACUCCAUUUUCAUGGGUUAGAUUCUUUUACCUUCAUCUUCUUCUUCCCACGUUAUCCCACCUCUUCACGGUUGCAAUUGGAGGAAUCACUAAUUCAAUGGCCACUCACGUUUCUAGCAAGAGUCAACUUUUUUC
rnacentral:lncRNA from 1 species